rnacentral:rRNA from 1 species
CAGUCGCCGCGGUAACACGGAGGGUGCAAGCGUUAAUCGGAAUUACUGGGCGUAAAGCGUGCGUAGGCGGUUCGUUAAGUCUGUUGUGAAAGCCCCGGGCUCAACCUGGGAAUGGCAAUGGAUACUGGCGAGCUAGAGUGUGUCAGAGGAUGGUGGAAUUCCCGGUGUAGCGGUGAAAUGCGUAGAGAUCGGGAGGAACAUCAGUGGCGAAGGCGGCCAUCUGGGACAACACUGACGCUGAGGCACGAAAGCGUGGGGAGCAAACAGGAUUAGAUACCCCAGUAGUCCCUGUCUCUUAUAU